rnacentral:rRNA from 1 species
UACGUAGGGUGCAAGCGUUAAUCGGAAUGACUGGGCGUAAAGGGUGUGUAGGCGGUCUGCUAAGUCUGAUGUGAAAGCCCCGGGCUCAACCUGGGAACUGCGUUGGAAACUAGCAAACUAGAGUACGUAAGAGGGGGGUGGAAUUCCACGUGUAGCAGUGAAAUGCGUAGAGAUGUGGAGGAACACCGAUGGCGAAGGCAGCCCCCUGGGCUAACACUGACGCUCAUGCACGAAAGCGUGGGGAGCAAACAGG